rnacentral:rRNA from 1 species
AUUGAACGCUGGCGGCAUGCCUUACACAUGCAAGUCGAACGGCAGCGGGCCUUCGGGUGCCGGCGAGUGGCGAACGGGUGAGUAAUGCAUCGGAACGUGCCAUUGAGUGGGGGGAUAACGUAGCGAAAGUUACGCUAAUACCGCAUAUUCUGUGAGCAGGAAAGCAGGGGACCGCAAGGCCUUGCGCUCUUUGAGCGGCCGAUGUCAGAUUAGCUAGUUGGUGAGGUAAAGGCUUACCAAGGCGACGAUCUGUAGCGGGUCUGAGAGGAUGAUCCGCCACACUGGAACUGAGACACGGUCCAGACUCCUACGGGAGGCAGCAGUGGGGAAUUUUGGACAAUGGGCGCAAGCCUGAUCCAGCCAUGCCGCGUGAGUGAAGAAGGCCUUCGCGUUGUAAAGCUCUUUCGGCCGGGAAGGAAAUCGCAUGGGUUAAUACCCUGUGUGGAUGACGGUACCGGAAUAAGAAGCACCGGCUAACUACGUGCCAG